rnacentral:rRNA from 1 species
UACAGAGGGUGCAAGCGUUAAUCGGAUUUACUGGGCGUAAAGCGCGCGUAGGUGGCCAAUUAAGUCAAAUGUGAAAUCCCCGAGCUUAACUUGGGAAUUGCAUUCGAUACUGGUUGGCUAGAGUAUGGGAGAGGAUGGUAGAAUUCCAGGUGUAGCGGUGAAAUGCGUAGAGAUCUGGAGGAAUACCGAUGGCGAAGGCAGCCAUCUGGCCUAAUACUGACACUGAGGUACGAAAGCAUGGGGAGCAAACAGG